AGAGUUUGAUCCUGGCUCAGGAUGAACGCUAGCUACAGGCUUAACACAUGCAAGUCGAGGGGCAGCAUCAUCAAAGCUUGCUUUGAUGGAUGGCGACCGGCGCACGGGUGAGUAACACGUAUCCAACCUGCCGACAACACUGGGAUAGCCUUUCGAAAGAAAGAUUAAUACCGGAUGGCAUAGUUUUCCCGCAUGGGAUAAUUAUUAAAGAAUUUCGGUUGUCGAUGGGGAUGCGUUCCAUUAGGCAGUUGGCGGGGUAACGGCCCACCAAACCAACGAUGGAUAGGGGUUCUGAGAGGAAGGUCCCCCACAUUGGAACUGAGACACGGUCCAAACUCCUACGGGAGGCAGCAGUGAGGAAUAUUGGUCAAUGGACGAGAGUCUGAACCAGCCAAGUAGCGUGAAGGAUGACUGCCCUAUGGGUUGUAAACUUCUUUUAUACGGGAAUAAAGUUAGCCACGUGUGGCUUUUUGUAUGUACCGUAUGAAUAAGGAUCGGCUAACUCCGUGCCAGCAGCCGCGGUAAUACGGAGGAUCCGAGCGUUAUCCGGAUUUAUUGGGUUUAAAGGGAGCGUAGGCGGGUUGUUAAGUCAGUUGUGAAAGUUUGCGGCUCAACCGUAAAAUUGCAGUUGAUACUGGCGACCUUGAGUGCAACAGAGGUAGGCGGAAUUCGUGGUGUAGCGGUGAAAUGCUUAGAUAUCACGAAGAACUCCGAUUGCGAAGGCAGCUUACUGGAUUGUAACUGACGCUGAUGCUCGAAAGUGUGGGUAUCAAACAGGAUUAGAUACCCUGGUAGUCCACACAGUAAACGAUGAAUACUCGCUGUUGGCGAUAUACAGUCAGCGGCCAAGCGAAAGCAUUAAGUAUUCCACCUGGGGAGUACGCCGGCAACGGUGAAACUCAAAGGAAUUGACGGGGGCCCGCACAAGCGGAGGAACAUGUGGUUUAAUUCGAUGAUACGCGAGGAACCUUACCCGGGCUUAAAUUGCAACUGACUGAACCGGAAACGGUUCUUUCUUCGGACAGUUGUGAAGGUGCUGCAUGGUUGUCGUCAGCUCGUGCCGUGAGGUGUCGGCUUAAGUGCCAUAACGAGCGCAACCCUUAUCGAUAGUUACUAGCAGGUCAUGCUGAGGACUCUAUUGAGACUGCCGUCGUAAGAUGUGAGGAAGGUGGGGAUGACGUCAAAUCAGCACGGCCCUUACGUCCGGGGCUACACACGUGUUACAAUGGGGGGUACAGAAGGCAGCUACACGGCGACGUGGUGCUAAUCCCGAAAGCCUCUCUCAGUUCGGAUUGGAGUCUGCAACCCGACUCCAUGAAGCUGGAUUCGCUAGUAAUCGCGCAUCAGCCACGGCGCGGUGAAUACGUUCCCGGGCCUUGCACACACCGCCCGUCA
rnacentral:rRNA from 1 species